rnacentral:rRNA from 1 species
AACGAACGCUGGCGGCAUGCCUAACACAUGCAAGUCGAACGAGACCUUCGGGUCUAGUGGCGCACGGGUGCGUAACGCGUGGGAACCUGCCCUUAGGUUCGGAAUAACUCCCCGAAAGGGGUGCUAAUACCGGAUAAUGUCUUCGGACCAAAGAUUUAUCGCCUUUGGAUGGGCCCGCGUUGGAUUAGCUAGUUGGUAGGGUAAAAGCCUACCAAGGCGACGAUCCAUAGCUGGUCUGAGAGGAUGAUCAGCCACACUGGGACUGAGACACGGCCCAGACUCCUACGGGAGGCAGCAGUGGGGAAUAUUGGACAAUGGGCGAAAGCCUGAUCCAGCCAUGCCGCGUGAGUGAUGAAGGCCUUAGGGUUGUAAAGCUCUUUUACCCGGGAUGAUAAUGACAGGACCGGGAGAAUAAGCUCCGGCUAACUCCGUG